rnacentral:tRNA from 1 species
UGAAUAUAGUUUAUNAAAAUACUAGUCUGUGGAUCUAGAGAUGGGAACUAAUCAUUCCCUAUUCACC